CGGCGGACGGGUGAGUAAUACUUAGGAAUCUGCCCAGUAGUGGGGGAUAGCACGGGGAAACUCGUAUUAAUACCGCAUACACCCUACGGGGAAAAGGGGGCGCUUGCGCUCUCGCUAUUGGAUGAGCCUAAGUCGGAUUAGCUAGUUGGUGGGGUAAAGGCCUACCAAGGCGACGAUCUGUAGCUGGUCUGAGAGGAUGAUCAGCCACACCGGGACUGAGACACGGCCCGGACUCCUACGGGAGGCAGCAGUGGGGAAUAUUGGACAAUGGGGGCAACCCUGAUCCAGCCAUGCCGCGUGUGUGAAGAAGGCCUUUUGGUUGUAAAGCACUUUAAGCAGUGAAGAAGACUCUAUGGUUAAUACCCAUAGACGAUGACAUUAGCUGCAGAAUAAGCACCGGCUAACUCUGUGCCAGCAGCCGCGGUAAUACAGAGGGUGCAAGCGUUAAUCGGAAUUACUGGGCGUAAAGCGAGCGUAGGUGGCUUAAUAAGUCAGAUGUGAAAUCCCCGGGCUUAACCUGGGAACUGCAUCUGAUAC
rnacentral:rRNA from 1 species